GCCGGCGACCACACCACAUUGAAAGCAUCGUUUCUCGUCCGGUCACCGCAGUUAAGCAGUGUCGGGCCCGGUCAGUACUUGUAUUGGUGACCGGCUGGGAAUAUUGGGUGUCGCAGGCC
rnacentral:rRNA from 1 species